GGACUACCCGGGUAUCUAAUCCUGUUCGCUCCCCACGCUUUCGCGCCUCAGUGUCAGUAAUGGUCCAGGAAGUCGCCUUCGCCACUGGUGUUCCUUCCGAUAUCUACGCAUUUCACCGCUACACCGGAAAUUCCACUUCCCUCUACCAUACUCUAGCUACUCAGUUUCAAAUGCAAUUCCUAGGUUAAGCCCAGGGAUUUCACAUCUGACUUAAGUAACCACCUACGCGCCCUUUACGCCCAGUAAUUCCGAUUAACGCUCGCACCCUCUGUAUUACCGCGGCUGCUGGCAC
rnacentral:rRNA from 1 species